AUUGAACGCUGGCGGCAGACCUAACACAUGCAAGUCGAGCGGAGCGGCGGACGGGUGAGUAAUGCCUAGGAAUCUGCCUGGUAGGGGGGGAUAACGUCCGGAAACGGGCGCUAAUACCGCAUACUAUCAGAUGAGCCUAGGUCGGAUUAGCGAGUUGGGGGGGAAAAGGCCUCCCAAGGCGACGAUCCGUAACUGGUCUGAGAGGAUGAUCAGGCCACCUGGAACUGAGACACGGUCCAGACUCCUACGGGAGGCAGCAGUGGGGAAUAUUGGACAAUGGGCGAAAGCCUGAUCCAGCCAUGCCGCGUGUGUGAAGAAGGUCUUCGGAUUGUAAAGCACUUUAAGUUGGGAGGCGUUACCAACAGAAUAAGCACCGGCUAACUUCGUGCCAGCAGCCGCGGUAAUAC
rnacentral:rRNA from 1 species